UGGUGUUACUGCGAAGGGGGGACGGAGAAGGCUAUGUUGGCCGGGCGACGGUUGUCCCGGUUUAAGCGUGUAGGUGUGUGUUCCAGGUAAAUCCGGUUCACUUUAACACUGAGGCGUGACGACGAGGCACUACGGUGCUGAAGCAACAAAUGCCCUGCUUCCAGGAAAAGCCUCUAAGCAUCAGGUAACAUCAAAUCGUACCCCAAACCGACACAGGUGGUCAGGUAGAGAAUACCAAGGCGCUUGAGAGAACUCGGGUGAAGGAACUAGGCAAAAUGGUGCCGUAACUUCGGGAGAAGGCACGCUGACACGUAGGUGAAGUGAUUUACUCAUGGAGCUGAAGUCAGUCGAAGAUACCAGCUGGCUGCAACUGUUUAUUAAAACACAGCACUGUGCAAACACGAAAGUGGACGUAUACGGUGUGACGCCUGCCCGGUGCCGGAAGGUUAAUUGAUGGGGUCAGCGCAAGCGAAGCUCCUGAUCGAAGCCCCGGUAAACGGCGGCCGUAACUAUAACGGUCCUAAGGUAGCGAAAUUCCUUGUCGGGUAAGUUCCGACCUGCACGAAUGGCGUAAUGAUGGCCAGGCUGUCUCCACCCGAGACUCAGUGAAAUUGAACUCGCUGUGAAGAUGCAGUGUACCCGCGGCAAGACGGAAAGACCCCGUGAACCUUUACUAUAGCUUGACACUGAACAUUGAGCCUUGAUGUGUAGGAUAGGUGGGAGGCUUUGAAGUGUGGACGCCAGUCUGCAUGGAGCCGACCUUGAAAUACCACCCUUUAAUGUUUGAUGUUCUAACGUGGACCCGUAAUCCGGGUUGCGGACAGUGUCUGGUGGGUAGUUUGACUGGGGCGGUCUCCUCCUAAAGAGUAACGGAGGAGCACGAAGGUUGGCUAAUCCUGGUCGGACAUCAGGAGGUUAGUGCAAUGGCAUAAGCCAGCUUGACUGCGAGCGUGACGGCGCGAGCAGGUGCGAAAGCAGGUCAUAGUGAUCCGGUGGUUCUGAAUGGAAGGCCAUCGCUCAACGGAUAAAAGGUACUCCGGGGAUAACAGGCUGAUACCGCCCAAGAGUU
rnacentral:rRNA from 1 species